GACGAACGCUGGCGGCGUGCUUAACACAUGCAAGUCGAACGGUGACGAGGAGCUUGCUCCUCCGAUCAGUGGCGAACGGUGAGUAACACGUGAGUAACCUGCCCCAGACUCUGGAAUAACAGUUGGAAACAGCUGCUAAUACCGGAUACGAGACGGAGAGGCAUCUCUACCGUCUGGAAAGUUUUUCGGUCUGGGAUGGACUCGCGGCCUAUCAGCUUGUUGGUGAGGUAAUGGCUCACCAAGGCGACGACGGGUAGCCGGCCUGAGAGGGCGACCGGCCACACUGGGACUGAGACACGGCCCAGACUCCUACGGGAGGCAGCAGUGGGGAAUAUUGCACAAUGGGCGAAAGCCUGAUGCAGCAACGCCGCGUGAGGGAUGACGGCCUUCGGGUUGUAAACCUCUUUCAGUAGGGAAGAAGCGAAAGUGACGGUACCUACAGAAGAAGCACCGGCUAACUACGUG
rnacentral:rRNA from 1 species